rnacentral:rRNA from 1 species
AAUUGGAAGGUUGUGCCCUUGAGGCGUGGCUUCCGGAGCUAACGCGUUAAGUCGACCGCCUGGGGAGUACGGCCGCAAGGUUAAAACUCAAAUGAAUUGACGGGGGCCCGCACAAGCGGUGGAGCAUGUGGUUUAAUUCGAUGCAACGCGAAGAACCUUACCUACUCUUGACAUCCACGGAAUUCGCUAGAGAUAGCUUAGUGCCUUCGGGAACCGUGAGACAGGUGCUGCAUGGCUGUCGUCAGCUCGUGUUGUGAAAUGUUGGGUUAAGUCCCGCAACGAGCGCAACCCUUAUCCUUUGUUGCCAGCACGUAAUGGUGGGAACUCAAAGGAGACUGCCGGUGAUAAACCGGAGGAAGGUGGGGAUGACGUCAAGUCAUCAUGGCCCUUACGAGUAGGGCUACACACGUGCUACAAUGGCAUAUACAAAGAGAAGCAAACUCGCGAGAGCAAGCGGACCUCAUAAAGUAUGUCGUAGUCCGGAUUGGAGUCUGCAACUCGACUCCAUGAAGUCGGAAUCGCUAGUAAUCGUAGAUCAGAAUGCUACGGUGAAUACGUUCCCGGGCCUUGUACACACCGCCCGUCACACCAUGGGAGUGGGUUGCAAAAGAAGUAGGUAGCUUAACCUUCGGGAGGGCGCUUACCACUUUGUGAUUCAUGACUGGGGUGAAGUCGUACAGGGUAACCGUCGGGUGUG